UAACUCCGUAGAAUUUGUAUGUGUACGUCAGCUGUCACUUCAGCUGUUUUAUUUCGCGUGGCUUCGGACUGAGGAUGGAUGGUUAAACGAACGGAUCUGUUCUUGAAAUUUCACCACCGAUUCCGUAUGUUUUAGCUGCGUCUUGUGAAUUCGAUCAAUGCAGAGUUGUUCAAGAGGAGCAUGGUUUGGCUUUGCUAGCACGUUUUUCAUCUCCGUUAGUCUAAUACACCCAUUUUGUACCAAAGGUACAAAACGUCUUCGGGAUGUACCUGAUGUACUAUGGUGGCCAAAGAAUCAUUCAGUGACUUGGUUCAAUCCAGGACUUGGUUUUUUCGAAAGUGAUUUACAGUUUUAAUUUGCAGAGAUCCUCAAGGUACCUGAGGUGUUGGAUUGGCGUUGGAGUAACUUGGUGACAGAAUGGAAUGCCACCGAUGUUAUGUUGUCAGUGUUAAUAAAACAUAUCCAGUAUCA